rnacentral:rRNA from 1 species
GACGUAGGGCGCGAGCGUUGUCCGGAUUUAUUGGGCGUAAAGAGCUCGUAGGCGGCUCAUUGCGUCGUCGGUGAAAACCCGUGGCUUAACUGUGGACGUGCGGUGGAUACGGGCAGGCUUGAGUUCGGUAGGGGAGACUGGAAUUCCUGGUGUAGCGGUGAAAUGCGCAGAUAUCAGGAGGAACACCGGUGGCGAAGGCGGAUCUCUGGGCCGAUACUGACGCUGAGGAGCGAAAGCGUGGGGAGCGAACAGG